CCUACGGGCGGCUGCAGUGGGGAAUAUUGCACAAUGGGCGCAAGCCUGAUGCAGCCGUGCCGCGUGUGUGAAGAAGGCCUUCGGGUUGUAAAGCACUUUCAGCGGGGAGGAAGGCGUUAAGGUUAAUAACCUUGGCGAUUGACGUUACCCGCAGAAGAAGCACCGGCUAACUCCGUGCCAGCAGCCGCGGUAAUACGGAGGGUGCAAGCGUUAAUCGGAAUUACUGGGCGUAAAGCGCACGCAGGCGGUCUGUCAAGUCGGAUGUGAAAUCCCCGGGCUCAACCUGGGAACUGCAUUCGAAACUGGCAGGCUAGAGUCUUGUAGAGGGGGGUAGAAUUCCAGGUGUAGCGGUUAAAUGCGUAGAGAUCUGGAGGAAUACCGGUGGCGAAGGCGGCCCCCUGGACAAAGACUGACGCUCAGGUGCGAAAGCGUGGGGAGCAAACAGGAUUAGAUACCCGAGUAGUC
rnacentral:rRNA from 1 species